GCAGAGGGCUGGAUGGCCGCGCUGAUCCUUGGAUCGGUGAGGAAAGUCCGGGCUCCACGGAAACAGGGUGCCAGGUAACGCCCGGCGAGCGAAAGCUCAGGGACAGUGCCACAGAAAGCAAACCGCCUGUGCCUUGGCACAGGUAAGGGUGAAAGGGUGCGGUAAGAGCGCACCGCGCGACCAGUAAUGGAAGCGGCACGGUAAACCCCACCCGGAGCAAGCCCAAAUUGCGCAGAACGCCAAGGCUUCGGCCAAGGUAUCGCCUGUUUUCGGGCGGCUGCGGUGGUAGGGCGCGCGAACCAGAGGGUAAUCUCUGGUCCAGAUGAAUGGCCAUCAGGGGUCUGAGUCCGCUCAGGCUCGCUACAGAACCCGGCUUAUAGGCCCUCUGCACCU
rnacentral:RNase_P_RNA from 1 species